rnacentral:rRNA from 1 species
AUUGAACGCCGGCGGCAUGCCUUACACAUGCAAGUCGAACGGUAACAGGUCUUCGGGUGCUGACGAGUGGCGAACGGGUGAGUAAUACAUCGGAACGUGCCUAGUAGUGGGGGAUAACUACUCGAAAGAGUGGCUAAUACCGCAUGAGAUCUACGGAUGAAAGCAGGGGAUCGCAAGACCUUGUGCUACUAGAGCGGCCGAUGGCAGAUUAGGUAGUUGGUGGGAUAAAAGCUUACCAAGCCGACGAUCUGUAGCUGGUCUGAGAGGACGAUCAGCCACCCUGGGACUGAGACACGGCCCAGACUCCUACGGGAGGCAGCAGUGGGGAAUUUUGGACAAUGGGCGAAAGCCUGAUCCAGCAAUGCCGCGUGCAGGAUGAAGGCCUUCGGGUUGUAAACUGCUUUUGUACGGAACGAAAAGCCCCGGGUUAAUACCCUGGGGUCAUGACGGUACCGUAAGAAUAAGCACCGGCUAACUACGUGCCAGCAGCCGCCGUAA